UACGUAGGUGGCAAGCGUUGUCCGGAUUUACUGGGUGUAAAGCGCGCGCAGGCGGGCUGGUCAGUCCGGGGUGAAAUCUCACGGCUCAACCGUGAGCGGUCCCCGGAUACUGCCAGUCUUGAGGUGUCUAGAGGAGAGCGGAAUUCCCGGUGUAGUGGUGGAAUGCGUAGAUAUCGGGAAGAACACCAGUGGCGAAAGCGGCUCUCUGGGGACCACCUGACGCUGAGGCGCGAAAGCGUGGGGAGCGAACCGG
rnacentral:rRNA from 1 species